AUAAUAUUUUAAUAUAUAUUCUCUAUGUUUAUAUUAUAUGAUUUGUGAAUAACAACGAUAAACUUUCUUUCUAUGUGGAAAUUUGAACAAGAAUUGCAUUACCGUUUAUUUCGAGCCCUGACUUGAGCACAUUUUUUGGUACAGACAUAACUAAAAAAUAAAAUAAAAUUUCUGUUGAUAUAAAGUGCAUACAGUGUUGUCAUAGAUUAUUAUAUAGAUACCUAUCAAAUUACACGUAAUUAUUUGUGUAGUGAUGUGAUGUUAUAGAAUUAUAAUCUCAAUUUCGACUGG